AGGAGAUCAGGUGAAAACCUAGUCUUCAUCCCUCUUCAGUUCAAUUGGAUCUUCAUGGUCCCUCGCAAUGGCUGCCCCUGCAGUCCACACCUUGACCAAGCCUCCCCCACCAUACACGUCUCGAUACGUAGCCGUCAUCGGCGCCGGAGCAGCAGGCCUCGUUGCGGUUCGAGAGCUCCGUCGAGAGGGUCACCGGCUUCGUCUAUGAGCGGGAGAGUCGGUCGGAGGUACAUGGGUCUACACGCCCAAGUUUAGUCAUCGGUGGCUUCAUCAGUUCAAUCUUUUCUUCGCCAGUUCGCCUCUCUCACCGUCUGGUCCGUCUUUGUUGAGCUGAUCGAGCAGAGGAGAUGUCGAAUGGGGAUACAUACGAGAAAAACCAUGACGAAAUCGAUUUGAGUUCUUUGGCAACAUAAGAGGGAAAUAUUGGAGAAUCCAUUCUAACAUUUACGGGAACGGGAGCACAAGCGCCGGUAGAGAAGAGAGAUACAGCCUCUGGUUUGACACGGCUGAAGAUUUUUCACCAGUACAACAUCCUCUGGACUGACUUUCAGAUCAUGUAAGCUUCUAUCUAAUUAUCAAAAGUGAAUUUUUACUUGUUCCUCUGCUUCCAUAUGGCUUUAGCUCUUAGUUCCUUUUUUUGUGGAGAGGAGAGCUGAUGUUUGUUUACGAUAGUUUAGAUUCAAAUUCUCGGCUUCAGGGGUGCUUCUUUCUACUGCAAAUUGCAUAUCUUCAACGGAGUCUAUUUCAAUUGGGAUUAGUAAUUAUUAGAACUGGUAUUUGUUUCCCUCGAUGAUUGUUGCAAUAUAACCUUCAUUGGUCUUUCGAGCUAUUACUCAGUUGAGUAGAAAAGUUUCGAUCUUUACUUUACUCC